CACGUGCCCGACGCGCCCCAGGCAAAAAAAAAAAAAAAAACGUUGCUGGGGCGACCUGGGGCGCUAGGAAGGCGGGGCAGCGGAGGCCCUCUGGGCCACAACCCCACAGCUAGGGGGACGCCAGCUUAGCUAGACUCAUGGAGUCAAGCUGGUCUCUAGUGACUGUAAACCGAGGAUGCAGGUGAACUCUAACCCCGCUCCUCCACUUCUCCAAUGCUAGGGUUCCAGGGCUCUGUGCAUGCUAGGGCCCUGUCACUGAAGAAUGGCAUACUGGUCCAGGUCAUCGGACGUCCUGCUCUGGCCUCCAUAUGUGUCCUUUGAGUGCACUCAUACACAUGUAUGCACCACACACAAAGCAUACUUUCAACAGGGUGUGGUGUUUCAAGCCUAUAAUCCAAGCUGUUGUGCAAUAUUAGAUAAAGAUGUGUUAUACUCAUCUAUGCUGUGGAAUAUAUGUUUAAUGAUGCAAAGGUCUAUCAGCAUCUUUAUCCAUCAAUAUUCAGUCUCUUACAAGAAACAAGGGAAGAGUAUCAGGAGUUCUCCAGGAAACUCUCACUGAGUAAGGGAUCUAUGGGGCACCAAAACAACCUCCUAGAAUCCCUAUAGGAGAUCAAAGGUACAGCCACUAGCCAGGCUGCUUAACAGCUGCUGCCUGGCAUCAGCUUCAAUGGCCUUCCGGAGUCCUGAAUGGAAAAUGGAUAACACCUAAGGAACAUGGUCCUUAGACCUUCAAAAAUCCUUUUAUACUGCCAGUCAUUUUCCUCAAGUAUACUAGAUCACUGAUUUACCUAUUUUACAAAAGAAAAUGUAAAUAAUCAAAUAAAGUCAUUUUGAAGUUGAA